rnacentral:rRNA from 1 species
AUUGAACGCUGGCGGCAGGCCUAACACAUGCAAGUCGAGCGAGUGGCGGACGGGUGAGUAAUGUCUGGGAAACUGCCCGAUGGAGGGGGAUAACUACUGGAAACGGUAGCUAAUACCGCAUACCAUCGGAUGUACCCAGAUGGGAUUAGCUAGUAGGUGGGGUAAAGGCUCACCUAGGCGACGAUCCCUAGCUGGUCUGAGAGGAUGACCAGCCACACUGGAACUGAGACACGGUCCAGACUCCUACGGGAGGCAGCAGUGGGGAAUAUUGCACAAUGGGCGCAAGCCUGAUGCAGCCAUGCCGCGUGUGUGAAGAAGGCCUUCGGGUUGUAAAGUACUUUCAGCGGGGAGGCGUUACUCGCAGAAGAAGCACCGGCUAACUCCGUGCCAGCCGCCGCGGUAAUUC